rfam:Parcubacteria bacterium GW2011_GWC1_36_108 TR95_C0002, whole genome shotgun sequence.
GGGUUAUUAGCUCAGUUGGUAGAGCAGCGGCCUCUUAAGCCGACGGUCGCAGGUUCGAAUCCUGCAUAACCCA